rnacentral:rRNA from 1 species
ACUUACCUGGGUUAAUCAAAGGUGCAAGGCGCAGAGAUGCGUCCCCCGGGCAACCGGCGCUUUUGAAGGUGCUGCAUGGCUGUCGUCAGCUCGUGUCGUGAGAUGUUGGGUUAAGUCCCGCAACGAGCGCAACCCUUACCAUUAGUUGCCAGCGAUUCGGUCGGGCACUCUAGUGGAACUGCCGGUGAUAAACCGGAGGAAGGUGGGGAUGACGUCAAGUCAUCAUGGCCUCUAUGUCCAGGGCUACACACGUGCUACAAUGGCCGGUACAAACCGCAGCAAACCCGCGAGGGGGAGCCAAUCGGAAAAAACCGGCCUCAGUUCGGAUUGCAGUCUGCAACUCGACUGCAUGAAGUUGGAAUCGCUAGUAAUCGCGGAUCAGCACGCCGCGGUGAAUACGUUCCCGGGUCUUGUACACACCG